rnacentral:rRNA from 1 species
GACGGAGGGUGCAAGCGUUGUUCGGAAUUACUGGGCGUAAAGGGCGCGUAGGCGGUCUGUUAAGUUCGGUGUGAAAGCCCCCGGCUCACCUGGGGAACUGCGCCGGAAACCGACAGACUCGAGUACCGGAGAGGAGGGUGGAAUUCCUGGUGUAGCGGUGAAAUGCGUAGAUAUUCGGAGGAACACCAGUGGCGAAGGCGGCUCACUGGUCCAUUACUGACGCUGAGGUGCGAAAGCGUGGGGAGCAAACAGG